AAUCAAGCUACUAAGAGCGCAUGGUGGAUGCCUUGGCGCUAAGAGCCGAUGAAGGACGUGGUACACUGCGAUAAGCCUCGGGGAGCCGUGUGCAGGCGUUAUAUCCGGGGAUUUCCGAAUGGGGAAACCCGCUUGAGGGGGGCAACCUACCUCGGGCACCGCCGGUUGAACACAUAGACCGGUUGGGGGAAACGCGGGGAACUGAAACAUCUUAGUACCCGCAGGAAAAGAGAGUAUUCCCUGAGUAGUGGCGAGCGAAAGGGGAACAGCCUAAACCGGCGUUGCUGAGUGGUCUGCAGACCUAUGCGACGCGGGGGUUGUAAGGCCCGACAUGGACCUCUGCAGAGGCCCGGGGAGUUAUCAAUCUGAGUCUUAGCCGAAUCGUUCAGGAAAGCCGAACCAGAGAGGGUGAUAGUCCCGUAGGCAAAAAGAGAUCAGACUCCCGUCGGUGACCUUGAGUACCACGGGACACGAGAAAUCUUGUGGGAAGCAGGGAGGACCACCUCCCAAGGCUAAAUACUCUUAGCGACCGAUAGUGAACAAGUACCAUGAGGGAAAGGUGAAAAGAACCCCGGUUAGGGGAGUGAAAUAGAAUCUGAAACCAUGCGCUUACAAGCGGUCGGAGGGCUAUGCCCAGCUACGGCUGGGAAGGCCUGACGGCGUGCCUUUUGGAGAAUGAACCGGCGAGUUACUCUCUGUAGCAAGGUUAAGCCAGUGACAGGCGGAGCCGUAGCGAAAGCGAGUCUGAAUAGGGCGUCAAGUUGCAGGGAGUAGACACGAAACCAGGUGAGCUACCCAUGGCCAGGCUGAAGUGAGACUAACCUCUCAUGGAGGGCCGAACCUUUCGCUGUUGCAAAAGCGUGGGAUGAGCUGUGGGUAGAGGUGAUAUGCCAAACGAACUUGGAGAUAGCUUGUUCUCCCCGAAAUAGCUUUAGGGCUAGCCUCAUGCGUUCAGUAUCGGAGGUAGAGCACUGGAUGGGCUAGGGGGCACAUCGCUUACUGAACUCAACCAAACUCCAAAUGCCGAUACUUAAAGCGUGAGAGUCGGACUAUGGGAGAUGAGUUUCAUAGUCGAGAGGGAAAGAACCCAGACCGCCGGCUAAGGUCCUCAAGUACAGGCUAAGUGGGAAACGAUGUGGGACUGCUCGGACAGCCAGUAGGUUGGCCUAGAAGCAGCCACCCUUUAAAGAGUGCGUAAUAGCUCACUGGUCAAGCGGUCCUGCGCGGAAAAUGUAACGGGGCUAAGCCUGACACCGAAGCCACGGGUCCUGCGCAAGCAGGAUGGUAGGGGAGCGUUCUGCGGGCAUAGAAGCUGUACCGAAAGGAGCAGUGGAGCGCGCAGAAGUGAGAAUGCCGGUAUGAGUAGCGAGAAACACGUGAGAACCGUGUUCGCCGUAAGUCUAAGGUUUCCGACGGAAGGUUAAUCCGCGUCGGGUUAGGCGGGCCUAAGCCGAGGCCGAGAGGCGUAGGCGAUGGACAGCCGGUUAAUAUUCCGGCCCCACCUGAGAGGAGCGAUGGGGG
rnacentral:rRNA from 1 species